rnacentral:tRNA from 1 species
UGGGAUAUAGCCAAGCGGUAAGGCAAGGGACUUUGACUCCCUCAUGCGCAAGUUCGAAUCUUGCUAUCCCAA